UACGUAGGGAGCAAGCGUUGUCCGGAAUCAUUGGGCGUAAAGAGCGUGUAGGCGGCUCGGUAAGUCUGGUGUGAAAUCUUGGGGCUCAACCCCAAGCUGUCAUCGGAUACUGCCGGGCUAGAGUCCGGAAGAGGAGAGUGAAAUUCCUGGUGUAGCGGUGGAAUGCGCAGAUAUCAGGAGGAACACCUAUGGCGAAGGCAGCUCUCUGGUACGGUACUGACGCUGAGACGCGAAAGCGUGGGGAGCGAACAGG
rnacentral:rRNA from 1 species